rnacentral:lncRNA from 1 species
UCGGACACAUUCAAGACUCUCUGGCUCUGACGAUGAUAAGUCAUCUGCCGUGAUCUUGCCACCGGUAUGCUCAUACCAGAGCGAUAACCGGUAAGCUUGGAUUUCGUUGGUGUUGUUGGUAUUGGUUUGGUAGCAACCUAUUGCAAUCUCGGUGUCCCGACAACCAUCCAUUGAUCUCUGGUUUAUAUUGGCUGAUCCUAUCAAAAUGUAUGUGUCGUCCACUACAAACAUAUGACAAUCUCUGUAAUUUAAAUCUUAAGUGAAAGUUUGUGAAAGUUUAACGAAUCUUCAAUAUAUUUUCAUUUCAGAUUGUGAAUUGCGGAUUGUUUGUUACCUAUCAUGAGCUUGGAGUGGACAUAGACCAUGAAUCUCCGAUUCCUCUGCGCAUUCCAGUAAUGCGUUUUCUGGUGGGGCGACGAAACUGCUUCAAACUCCC